rnacentral:misc_RNA from 1 species
UAAAAAGUCCUCAUUUCAACCUGAUUGUUCAAAUACACAAGUCUGAAAAUGGCAAAUGGCAGGAUGUAUCUUGUAAAACUGAAGUGAUUGGAAUAUUAACAUAUUUAUAUGCCAUACAACAAAUUACUAUUCAUUGACAUGACAAGUUUACAAGCCCAUUUAGAAGUUGGAGCUUUCUUCCUCUUUCUCCCCAACCCCUGUUUGCAGUAAUUGAACUUGGACUACAACAUUGAAGGAGCAUAUGCUAGAUGAACGAA